UGAGGUGUUGCCCAUUGGUAGAGUUUGUGCUUAAUGUGCACAAGGCCCUGGGUUUAAUCCCCAGCAUCAAAA
rnacentral:tRNA from 1 species